rnacentral:rRNA from 1 species
AUACGGAGGGUGCAAGCGUUACUCGGAAUCACUGGGCGUAAAGGGUGCGUAGGCUGGAUGUCAAGUUGGAAGUGAAAUCCUAUGGCUUAACCAUAGAACUGCUUCCAAAACUGGCAACCUAGAGUGAGGGAGAGGCAGAUGGAAUUAGUGGUGUAGGGGUAAAAUCCGUAGAUAUCACUAGGAAUACCGAUUGCGAAGGCGAUCUGCUAGAACUCUACUGACGCUAAGGCAUGAAAGCGUGGGGAGCAAACAGGAUUAGAAACCCCGGUAGUCC